CACGUAGGGGGCAAGCGUUGUCCGGAUUUAUUGGGCGUAAAGAGCUCGUAGGCGGCUCGGUAAGUCGGGUGUGAAAACUCGGGGCUCAACCCCGAGACGCCACUCGAUACUGCCAUGGCUUGAGUCCGGUAGGGGAGUGUGGAAUUCCUGGUGUAGCGGUGAAAUGCGCAGAUAUCAGGAGGAACACCGAUGGCGAAGGCAGCACUCUGGGCCGGUACUGACGCUGAGGAGCGAAAGACGUGGGGAGCAAACAGG
rnacentral:rRNA from 1 species